rnacentral:rRNA from 1 species
CGGCGUAAAGCGUGGUUAAGAUAUUAAUUAAAUAGGAUUAAAUGGCCUCUAAGCAGUCAAAUACUAUCGAAGCCACAAAGCACAUCUACGAAAGUAACCCUAGUUCUUAUGACCCCACGAAAGCCAUAACACAAACUGGGAUUAGAUACCCCACUAUGUAUGGCUGUUAAAAUUGAUGGUACUUCACUCGAACCAUCCGCCCGGGAACUACGAGCCUCAGCUUAAAACCCAAAGGACCUGGCGGUGCUUUAGAUCCCCCUAGAGGAGCCUGUUCUAUAACUGACAACCCCCGUUAAACCUCACCACCCCUUGUCAAAUCCGCCUAUAUACCACCGUCGUAAGCUUACCCUACUGAAGGUUAAAAAGUAAGCCCCAAUAGUAAUACUAAAGACGUCAGGUCGAGGUGUAGCGUAUGGAGUGGGAAGAAAUGGGCUACAUUCCCUGAAGAAGGGAACACGAAUGGUAGUUUGAAAAAACUACACUGAAGGAGGAUUUAGUAGUAAGAAAGGAAUAGAGUGCCUUGCUGAAAAUGGCCCUAAAGCGCGUACAGACCGCCCGUCACUCUCCCCGAAACAACCUCUUUAUUCCUAAUAAUUUAAAUAAAACAAGGUGAGAUAAGUCGUAACAUGGUAAGUGUACCGGAA